UAAUUUUUAAAUAAGAAAAAAUAAUGUUGUAUAUAUAUUCUUUAAUUUCACGUCAAUUGUUUAUGUCCUUGUAACUUGUCUCCCAACAAAGUAAAUCCUAUCUUUCCUUGCAUCGAAACACACACACACACAAACACAAUAUUUCACUGAUUAGUAACUUCACUUUGAUUUACAACUGAAACCAUGUCAGAUAUGGGCUUUGUUGCCACUUUCGUAGUACCGACACCCACAGCAUCGAAGCCACGAAAACAGUGCCACCGCUCACCAUCUCUGCUCCAAAAGUCCAACAUCAUCAUCAACAAACACAGGUUUCGAUUCAGAAGUUGUGAACUAGUGACACGGAAGAGUCAUC
rnacentral:lncRNA from 1 species